UACAGAGGGUGCGGGCGUUAAUCGGAAUUACUGGGCGUAAAGCGCACGUAGGUGGCGACGUAAGUCGGGUGUGAAAGCCCCGGGCUCAACCUGGGAAUUGCAUUCGAGACUGCAUUGCUGGAGUACGGAAGAGGAAGGCGGAAUUCCCGGUGUAGCGGUGAAAUGCGUAGAUAUCGGGAGGAACAUCAGUGGCGAAGGCGGCCUUCUGGUCCAGUACUGACACUCAAGUGCGAAAGCGUGGGGAGCAAACAGG
rnacentral:rRNA from 1 species